rnacentral:rRNA from 1 species
UCCGGUGACCAUAGCGGAGAGGAUACACCCGUUCCCAUCCCGAACACGGUAGUUAAGCUCUCCUGCGCCGAUGGUACUUGGGGGUACCCUGGGAGAGUAGGCCGUCGCCGGAG